GCAUGGCUUAGUGGUUAAGGUGUUCAGCUCAUAACUGUAUGACUGUGAGUUCAAUUCCCAGUGACAUGCU
rnacentral:tRNA from 1 species